rnacentral:rRNA from 1 species
CNGGAUUUAUUGGGCGUAAAGGGAGCGCAGGCGNUCAGGAAAGUCUGGAGUAAAAGGNUAUGGCUCAACCAUAGUGUGCUCUGGAAACUNUCUGACUUGAGUGCAGAAGGGGAGAGUGGAAUUCCAUGUGUAGCGGUGAAAUGCGUAGAUAUAUGGAGGAACACCAGUGGCGAAAGCGGCUCUCUGGUCUGUCACUGACGCUGAGGCUCGAAAGCGUGGGUAGCGAACAGGAUUAGAUACCCUGGUAGUNCACGCCGUAAACGAUGAGUGCUAGGUGUUAGGCCCUUUCCGGGGCUUAGUGCCGGAGCUAACGCAAUAAGCACUCCGCCUGGGGAGUACGACCGCAAGGUUGAAACUCAAAGGAAUUGACGGGGGCCCGCACAAGCGGUGGAGCAUGUGGUUUAAUUCGAAGCAACGCGAAGAACCUUACCAGGUCUUGACAUCCCGAUGCUAUUCUUAGAGAUAGGAAGUUACUUCGGUACAUCGGAGACAGGUGGUGCAUGGUUGUCGUCAGCUCGUGUCGUGAGAUGUUGGGUUAAGUCCCGCAACGAGCGCAACCCUUAUUGUUAGUUGCCAUCAUUAAGUUGGGCACUCUAGCGAGACUGCCGGUAAUAAACCGGAGGAAGGUGGGGAUGACGUCAAAUCAUCAUGCCCCUUAUGACCUGGGCUACACACGUGCUACAAUGGUCGGUACAACGAGUUGCGAGCCGGUGACGGCAAGCUAAUCUCUGAAAGCCGAUCUCAGUUCGGAUUGGAGGCUGCAACUCGCCUCCAUGAAGUCGGAAUCGCUAGUAAUCGCGGAUCAGCACGCCGCGGUGAAUACGUUCCCGGGCCUUGUACACACCGCCCGUCACACCACGAGAGUUUGUAACACCCGAAGUCGGUGAGGUANCCUUUUAGGG